ACAGUUUGUAAUUUAUCGUUGUUUAUUAAACUCUGAAAGCUGUUUGUUAAUAUUCUGUCCUAUAAUGUGGUUAGAGGGGCCUUUUUUAUUUGAGCUCCUGCCCUUUAGUGUCUCUGCACGGCCCUGAUCACAGUCCAGAAAUGGGUUCCGGUUCCAGAGACAGAUUACUGAUUACCUGAAAUUCAUGCAAGAGGUUAAGCUGAGUACUAAUUAUGUUGUUGUGGCAGCUGCCAUUAAGCUUAAGGUAGUUUCUGUAUCUCAAAUCAUGUCCAGAAUGCUUAUUAGUUAUUUUCAUUAAAAUAAAUUUUGGUAAACUGUCUGCCAACAGUAUGGGCAACAUUGAAGAUGUGAUUUCAACCACCAGUUCAUUGUCUGAAAAUGUUAUUUGAAAUAUUUUCUAAUUAUGAAUGUAAUUCUAACCAGUUCCAACCAUAUGCUAUAAAUUAGCGUGUUAAGAUGAGUGUUUCCUUCCAUUCAUGCUAAAUUCAGUUUGGCAGUGAAAUCUGUAGACUGAGACUCUUCUGGAGUUGAUGUGGAUGCUGAUAUGUUUGAUGAACUCCUGACUUUUAGCCUGCUGGUUGGAGACCAGAGUUUAAUCUGAUAUUUUUGACUGAUGGUACUUUUAAAAGUUAAACACAUACAUGUAUGAAAUCCAUAGAAAUGUUAGAAUAAUGUGAAAACUCAUAAUUAUUAACAUAAUUAUGAGUUUUCUAUUUAUAACCUUUGCUUAAUUGGUGUGAGUUUGUUUAACCCUUUGUGAAACAUGAAUGUUCUUAUUGAAUAGUUUUUAGGAGGCUCCCUCCAUUACCCUGGGAGUCGCCAGCCUCUUUCCCAGUUUGAAAGAUAAUUGCUCGCCAGCUUCAGGCCACGUGAACCUGAAGAUCCUCUUCUUGGGUGAUAAUUUGUUUGGAUUUAUUUCAAUGUGGAUUAACCGUGUAACUGUCCUUUUGAACGUAAUGCAAUCGACAUUUUGUGUUUUCUGUUACGUGAUAGGAGCAUUUCUACAAAGUGGACAGGCUACCUGGCCUAUCGACUGAAAGCCGUUCAGCGCAGCAAGAGGAGCUCCAGACCUCAACAUCUGAACAGCAGUUUGGUGAUGGAUGCAAAGAAGCAAGGAGAAAAUGAAGGCAUAGACAGAAUGUGAUCUGCACCGGUCAUCACUGGAUCCCAAGACUCUUGGAUACACCAGGCUUGGUGAGAAAGUCUCAGAUUUGAUUAACUGAACUUUAGAAUUGGGUUCUGAUGGUAUUUGUUGUUCUGCUAGACUGAGCAGGACGUCAUCACUGUCCUUCGACGGAGGAUGACCUGGAUGACCUUCUGCCUGCUCAGGAUCAACUGAUUAUGCCAUUUUCCUGCUGGUUCGUCUCCUGCCUCCAACCAAAGGGAGAAACUAGUGCAGCUGAUCGUGUUGUGAAGUUUAUGAAGGAAAUGUAAUCAGAUCCCUUUGUCUCCAUCUGGCGGCGGAAUCAAUAAACUACAGGGGAAAAUACAUUAAAGUAUAAAUAACAUGUAAAUAACCGGAUAAGCUCCUCAUUAGU